rnacentral:rRNA from 1 species
GCUGCAUGAAGUCGGAAUUGCUAGUAAUCGCGGAUCAGCAUGCCGCGGUGAAUACGUUCCCGGGCCUUGUACACACCGCCCGUCACACCAUGGGAGCCGGUAAUACCCGAAGUCAGUAGUCCAACCACGUGAGGACGCUGCCGAAGGUAGGAUUGGCGACUGGGGUGAAGUCGUAACAAGGUAUC